UAAAAAGCUCGUAGUUGGAUUUCUGUUUUGAAUGUCCGGUCGGUCAGUUUCUGAUGUGUACUUUGGAUAUUUGAAGCAUUUUUUGUGAGGGUCCUUGACUGGCAUUAAGUUGUUGGUUUUGGAAGCUUGCAUCGUUUACUGUGAAAAAAUUAGAGUGUUUCAAGCAGGCGUUUGCUUUUGAAUACAUUAGCAUGGAAUAAUAAGAUACGACUAGCGUGGUCCUAUUUUGUUGGUUUGCCACCACGCAAGUAAUGAUUAAUAGGGACGGUUGGGGGUAUUCAUAUUU
rnacentral:rRNA from 1 species